UGGCAAAUUUAAGACAACAAUAAUAAGAAUUAAGACAGUUUUUAACAUUUUUUAUAACAUUCCAAAAUUAAAAAAUAAUUUAUGGAAAAUAAAAUUUAAACAUUUGAAUUUAAAACAAGCAAUAGUUAUCCGCAUUUAGAAUAAAGCUUUAAACUUUAUCCUUAACAAUAUCACAAUUCAUUCAAACUCAAACAAUCUGUUAAAAAAAGAGUUAUAUACCACAUUAAAUUCAAUCAAAGGGUCCUAUUUUAAUUGUUUUAAUAAAAGUAAUCCAAACCGUACAGCUUUUGAGUUUGAGAGAAAAUAUUAAAAUUUUGAGUUUGAGAGAAAUUUAAAAACUCAGUUUUCAACAAGCAGUACGUUCAUCUCGAUUCAUAUUAAAAAAUCUGACGUUUAUUUCUUUUUCUUUUGCCAUUAUCUUUUGUCAAAUAAUCAUUUAAUAACAAUAAUAAUAAUAAUAACAACAAUAAUAAUUGCUAAUUAAUACAUGUAAUAAUAAUAAUCUAUAAAUAUAAAGUGAAAGAUUUAAAAUUUUAAAAGCUAAAGUUUUUUAAUUAACGAGAGUCGAGAGCAAGCUGGAAACAAAUAUCGGCACAGGGACAUCUCAAAUGCAUAUACCUUUUUAUCUUUGCUUUGUUAAUUAACGAAAAGAACAAAAAAAAAAAUGAAUAGAAGUUAAUCUUAAAGAUAAAGAUAGAGAUAUUAUCUGCAGAUAUUACUCCUACUACUAACUAAUUAUCUUCAAUUGCACAGAUUGAAAUAUAAUCUGUGUAUUUGACUCUAUCCUAAAAGAGUCCUACUCCUGAAACAAAGUACUAUACUUCUACUAGGAUGCAUUUCAGUGACAGAGUCCUAUAUUAAUCCAAACUGCACAGCUUUUCAAUUUCUUAUAUAAACUGGUAUUCGAAGAAUCUCCAUAACAUAGUUCAAUUUCAACAUUGGAAAACAAAUACGCUGUUCAAUAUAUACUUCAAAAACAUGUCUCCCAGAAUUGACUUUAUUAGUGAUAUAUGGAGUACUAAGAUGAUGUGGAAUUUAAAGGUUCGUGUAGUGUCGCUAGAGAUGCUGCUGCAGGAUGAGAAGGUAUGUAUACGGUUCGGAUAUUCUAUUACAACAUCCUUAUUUCAUGGCUGUAUGAUCUCAGUCUUCUUCACAAAGCAUAGAAAUCAAGAAAUGGCUAAAUACCAAUCAGUGGUUCGGUGAAGGCGGAUAAUUAUGACCAACAUGGUAGCGAGGCACUAAUUUUGGGUGACAGAGAGGAGGACAUUGCAGAACCAGAGGAAGAGAAACGUUAUGUCUAUGAGAGGGAGGACAAAAUUCUUUGGAUUCAGUGUUGAAUGUAGAGGACUUUAUGAAAUUUCAUUCUGGCGUGAAACAUGGAGAUAUUGUCGAAAUUACUAAAUGUCCAGGAGGAUUCAAAAUUCAAGCAAGCCAUAAGAAUCAGGAAUCCUAGAAAGAGGGCUGAAAAAGAUGUGGAUACCUGCAAAAAAUAAAACAAAAUGUGCGGAUGCGAUGAAAUCGAUGUACAAGGUCAAGAUUCUGAAGCACCUAUCAAAAAGAGUAAAGGUGAUACGAUGCAAAGGAAAUAGUGAUGACCCGGAACAGAUGCAAGAACCAGUUGAAAGGAAACAACAACUCUCUGCUGAAAGGGACAACAAAGUGGAGAGCAUUGCUAGCGGGUGAAAUUGGAAGACCAUUAAUGCUUCUUGCUGGUAACACGCAACACACAAACUUGGCAAUUUACAUUCUUAUGUGCGCGGCUGUGUUGGAAUCACGUUGUGGAAUAAAAAGUAAGCGGUUUGGGAGCAUAUGCAAGUCUUUAACUUAGGCUCAUGGAGACAUUUUCCUUAUGUGUAUAUCCCCUUCACAGAUCCUGUAAGCAUUAUUUUUCUUCUUUUGUGGGAACCUAAUUUCAUGUAAAAACAUAUUUUAAUACCCCUUUUCUUUAAUUGCAAUCAAUAUACUUCGUAUA